CCAGUCGGCCGGACGGCCGCUUCGAUCGCAAGAUCGGGGAGGAAAGUCCGGGCUCCACGGAAGCACGGCGCCGGAUAACGUCCGGCGGGGGCGACCCCAGGGAAAGUGCCACAGAGAGCAGACCGCCUGCGGCUUCGGCCGCAGGUAAGGGUGAAAGGGUGCGGUAAGAGCGCACCGCGCGACCGGUAACGGGAGCGGCACGGCAAACCCCGCCGGGAGCAAGACCGAAUAGGGGCGACACGGAUUGCGUUCUCGGACGCAAGACAGGCCCGUUUCCGGGCCGUCGCCCGGGUUGGUCGCUAGAGGCGUCCGGUAACGGGCGUCCCAGAGGAAUGGCCGUCACGUGGGAUCCGUCUUCGGGCGGCCCCGCCAUACAAAACCCGGCUUACAGGCCGACUGGCGAU
rnacentral:RNase_P_RNA from 1 species